rnacentral:tRNA from 1 species
GCGGGAAUGGCGAAAUAGGUAGACGCACCAGAUUUAGAUUCUGGAGCUUUUUUUAUAGCGUGCGAGUUCAAGUCUCGCUUCCCGUA